rnacentral:rRNA from 1 species
GUUAGCCUACGGGAGGCAGCAGUAGGGAAUAUUGCUCAAUGGGGGAAACCCUGAAGCAGCAACGCCGCGUGGAGGAUGAAGGUUUUAGGAUUGUAAACUCCUUUUGUGAGAGAAGAUAAUGACGGUAUCUCACGAAUAAGCACCGGCUAACUCCGUGCCAGCAGCCGCGGUAAUACGGAGGGUGCAAGCGUUACUCGGAAUCACUGGGCGUAAAGAGUGCGCAGGCGGGCUUGUAAGGCAGAUGUGCAAUCCUGUAGCUUAACUACAGAACUGAAUUUGAAACUAUGAGUCUAG